GAAUGUCAAAGAUUCAGACCUUUUUCCAACAAUCCAGAUUGCUAAUUGACAAAAAAAUGAAAAAAACAUUAAUAAGAUAUUGGAAUAAAUCUUUUAUGGUUUUUAGUUUAUUGUAUUGAAUAACCACUUCUCCUUGCCGGAUACUGAUAAUUACGGCUAAAAUCUGUUUAUAGUAUUAUGACCUUGGA